GAUGAACGCUGGCGGCGUACCUAAUACAUGCCAGUCGAGCGAACAGACGAGGAGCUUGCUCUUCUGACGUUAGCGGCGGACGGGUGAGUAACACGUGGAUAACCUACCUAUAAGACUGGGAUAACUUCGGGAAACCGGAGCUAAUACCGGAUAAUAUAUUGAACCGCAUGGUUCAAUAGUGAAAGACGGUUUUGCUGUCACUUAUAGAUGGAUCCGCGCCGCAUUAGCUAGUUGGUAAGGUAACGGCUUACCAAGGCGACGAUGCGUAGCUGACCUGAGAGGGUGAUCGGCCACACUGGAACUGAGACACGGUCCAGACUCCUACGGGAGGCAGCAGUAGGGAAUCUUCCGCAAUGGGCGAAAGCCUGACGGAGCAACGCCGCGUGAGUGAUGAAGGUCUUCGGAUCGUAAAACUCUGUUAUUAGGGAAGAACAAAUGUGUAAGUAACUAUGCACGUCUUGACGGUACCUAAUCAGAAAGCCACGGCUAACUACGUG
rnacentral:rRNA from 1 species